GGGGCUGACCGGUUUCGACAGCAAGGACAGUGGAUUUGUAAGCAUGCCGGGCAUUGGAGAUGUGGCUCGUUAAAAACUAUCUUUCAACCAUAAUUGGCGAAAAUAACUACGCUCUCGCAGCCUAAUCGAAGAUUAGUAGAUUGGCUUAUCCCGACACAAGGUGAUGGGACGAGACAUCCUGCAGAAGGAUCUGCCUGAUUCCGACUGAAUACGGGGUGCUCAUAAUUUCGGGCUGGUUUGGCAGAGGCUUUGGCUGCCAGAUAAGAUAAAAAAGCUAAGGUAAAACUGGGGUGCCUGUUCCCGGGUUUUAUUCAAAAAUCAACAACCGGCUAAGCAUGUAGAAAGCACUUUUGCUGCUUGUUUGGACGAGGGUUCGACUCCCUCCAGCUCCACGA
rnacentral:tmRNA from 1 species